CGAUCUGCUGGGGACAGAUGAAAUGAAUGUGGGUGUCAAUGCCGCCCGCCGUUACAAUCAUUCCCUCGCCGGCCAGAGCCUCUGUGGAAGCUCCCACCGUCAUUCCCGGAGUUACGCCGUCCAUCACACUGGGAUUCCCCGCUUUUCCGAUCCCUUUGAUUUUUCCGUCCUUGAUCCCUAUAUCUGCUUUGACGAUCCCCGUGCUGUCCACGAUCAGGGCGUUCGUGAUAACAAGAUCCAGGUCGCCGUCGGCGCUUGUGGUCUUUACCGACUGUCCCAUGCCGUCCCG
rnacentral:sRNA from 1 species